AGAGAAAGUUGGGCAGCUGUUGACAGCUUUCACAACAAAUCAAGUGAUUAAUUUUACUCCCCAACAGACUAAAGAGCCAACUAAUACUAGGUCUCUGGUGCUCAGAGGACUCCCUAUCGUCCUUGGCGACAAACCUACAGAUUUCUACAAAGUAUGCUUUGACUCUGAUGAUGAUUACUGAUGACAUUGGAA